UGAACGCUGGCGGCGUGCUUAACACAUGCAAGUCGAACGAACCUUCGGGUUAGUGGCGGACGGGUGAGUAACGCGUGAGAAUCUGCCCUCAGGAGGGGGAUAACGGCUGGAAACGGCCGCUAAUACCCCAUAUGCCGCGAGGUGAAAUGAAUUUCGCCUGAGGAUGAGCUCGCGUCUGAUUAGCUAGUUGGUGGGGUAAGAGCCUACCAAGGCAUCGAUCAGUAGCUGGUCUGAGAGGAUGAUCAGCCACACUGGGACUGAGACACGGCCCAGACUCCUACGGGAGGCAGCAGUGGGGAAUUUUCCGCAAUGGGCGAAAGCCUGACGGAGCAACGCCGCGUGAGGGAUGAAGGCCUCUGGGCUGUAAACCUCUUUUAUCGAGGAAGAAGAUCUGACGGUACUUGAUGAAUAAGCCACGGCUAAUUCCGUGCCAGCAG
rnacentral:rRNA from 1 species